rnacentral:rRNA from 1 species
CGUGAGUGAAGAAGGCUUUCGGGUCGUAAAGCUCUGUCAAGUGGGAAAAAAAUCUGAUGAUUAAUAGUUGUCAGGUCUGAUGGUACCACUGGAGGAAGCACCGGCUAACUCCGUGCCAGCAGCCGCGGUAAUACGGAGGGUGCAAGCGUUGUUCGGAAUUACUGGGCGUAAAGGGCGUGCAGGCGGGUUGGUAAGUCAGAUGUGAAAGCCCUGGGCUUAACCCAGGAAGUGCAUUUGAAACUGCCAUCCUUGAGUAUGGGAGAGGAGAGUGGAAUUCCCAAUGUAGAGGUGAAAUUCGUAGAUAUUGGGAGGAACACCCGUGGCGAAGGCGACUCUCUGGACCAAUACUGACGCUGAGACGCGAAAGCGUGGGGAGCAAACAGGAUUAGAUACCCUGGUAGUCCGCGCUGUAAACGAUGAGAACUAGGUGUAGCGGGUAUUGACCCCUGCUGUGCCGAAGUUAACGCAUUAA